rnacentral:rRNA from 1 species
GGCUGCCUACGGGACGCAGCAGUGGGGAAUAUUGCACAAUGGGGGAAACCCUGAUGCAGCGACGCCGCGUGAGCGAAGAAGUAUUUCGGUAUGUAAAGCUCUAUCAGCAGGGAAGAAAAUGACGGUACCUGAGUAAGAAGCUCCGGCUAAAUACGUGCCAGCAGCCGCGGUAAUACGUAUGGAGCAAGCGUUAUCCGGAUUUACUGGGUGUAAAGGGAGCGCAGGCGGCCUUGCAAGUCUGAUGUGAAAUACCGGGGCUCAACCCCGGAGCUGCAUUGGAAACUGUGAGGCUGGAGUGUCGGAGG